rnacentral:misc_RNA from 1 species
UCCCUGGUGGCUAUGGAUGGGACACUGCUGGUUUAUCUGCAGAUCCUGAGACAUUUGCUAAGAACCGUGAGCUUGAGGUAAUUCACUGCAGAUGGGCCAUGCUUGGUGCACUUGGCUGCGUCUUCCCUGAAAUCCUUUCGAGGAAUGGUGUCAAAUUUGGCGAGGCAGUUUGGUUCAAAGCUGGAGCCCAAAUCUUUUCUGAAGGUGGUCUUGAUUACCUUGGCAACCCAAACCUUAUCCAUGCUCAGAGCAUUCUUGCAAUUUGGGCUGUCCAGGUUGUGCUAAUGGGAUUUGUUGAAGGCUAUAGAGUUGGUGGAGGACCACUCGGUGAAGGACUUGAUCCCAUUUACCCUGGUGGUGCCUUUGACCCUCUGGGACUAGCUGAUGAUCCUGACGCAUUUGCAGAAUUGAAAGUCAAAGAGAUUAAGAACGGACGUUUGGCAAUGUUUUCCAUGUUUGGAUUCUUUGUUCAG